AGCCCGGCCCGGGGGCAGCGCCCCGCAGCACGGCACCGCCGGGCCCGCACGAGGAGCGGCGCCGGGGCUCAGGUGCCGCGGGGGCGGCGCUGCGCGACGGACCGCUACAAACGUCAAAAUCCAAGGGAAUAAAGAGGGAACGCGCUUCCAGAUUUAGCAGCCCGAAAUGCCGGGGGAGGUACCGAAUCACACCGCAAACGUACUCCGCUGCCAGUGAGCCAUUUUAAGAGCGACGCUGAGUUAUUCUAGACCAGACAGCCACAGAUCAUCAAACUCCACACCGCAAUUAAAGGCGCCAAUGACCCCAUCAGCAAUUUUGAAGCUGCAUUAGUCUCCCACAGUGCUUAAAAUCUAAUGAAGACCAGAAGGACCUCGGGCACCUGCUCCUGGACCCUGCUAAGCGGCCAUUACGGCAGGUAGGUGCAAGCCCUUCGUCCCAGUGCUGCCCAACACCUGCCUGGAGAGGGCCGGGCACAGCGGUCUGCCGGGCACUGCUGGCACCAAGAGGGGGAACACGGGAAAGCUCUGCAGAGAUCCUCACAGCAGCAGCUUGGCUUAAGGAAUACACAUCCCCCAUUGAGCUGUGAGGUACUGUGAGAAAACGAGCUCAAAAGCAGCAGCAGACAAUAUCGAAGAAGCGAUGUACAUAUUAAGCCCAUUUUGAAAGGGGAGCACACAGUAUAGUGAGCGUCGGGGACUGGGCCAAGUGCUGCAGGUGGAAUUCACAGGCCAGGAGGAGGCAAAGACAACAGAUCAGCAAUCAGUAUGUGCUGCUGGUCAGUAAAAGGUCCCACCUGGGAAUUGUGACAGUGACUUUCAAUGCCCUGCUUUGGAAAGAGGGGGAAAAAGCCCCCAUUUUAUUAAAAAAAUAAAGAUGAGAUGCUUUUAGAAGCCUCUUCCCUACUGUGCUAGUUUCUUUUGCAAGAUGAACCUUCCAUGUUACCUGGGCUCAGAAAGCUAACUCGUACACAACAGAACGCCGUGGAUUUUGGGAAGGGUGUGGCUGUUCCUCCACAUGCACAGAGCAGCGUUCUGAGAGGGUUGCAAAACAUGCUGCAAAAUUCUGGAAGGAACACAAAGGCACCCAUAAGGGCUCACAAUCCACGUCAAACAGGAUGUCUGUAGUUACAGCUCUCAUCUUGGCUCUCUUAACAGACACGUUUAGCAUCCAAAUCUCCAUAAAAAGCGGCUCUGCAACUGAAAACAAAUGUCACCUCAUUUCUUCUUUCAACUUCAUCAGAGCAGCCAAGAUAACAACAACAUGUCCACUUUAUGCACUUUAAGUCCACAGGCCAAAUACACACCCUGGUGAUGCAAGCCUUUUCUGAGGUCUGUCUUCAUUGAACACUCUUUGCUAGACAGCACAAUUAGAGCUAACAGCAACAUGACAGACACUCCAACGCAGUACAGAAUACAAAGCAUCUCCGUGCCAUAUUUGCAAGACAAUUUGCACUUACAUGCAUAUGACACACACAGGACUAUAAAAGCAUGGAAGAGAGCCAUGCACUCAUAUUGGCACAAAGGAAAUAACAACAGCCACAAAUUCACAAACUGAGGUAUUUACAGACACAGCCAGCGUCAGUAGAUGAAUACUGAGUUCUGCAGAAACAACAGCAAAAGCAGAUGUGAAGAUAUGCUGCCUAACUUCCAGUGAGAACGUUUGAAAAGGUGCUUUGAAAUGAAAUCACAACAGUAAAUUCCAGAAGAGCCUCCCCUUCUUCAGGCCAAGUACUAUGACUCCUGUGAAGACACUGCAUGACACCAGUACAACAAUUCACAAAAAUAAAAUAGAAAAUAAAUAAAUAAAACAAAAAUCACCCCAGAAUCCAUCUUUUUCCACACUGAUACAAUUUAUUACAAAACCUCCAUGAAAAUUAGUGUUAUGGUAUAUAAAAGGUUCAUUACAUGCCACCACUCAGCUGGGAGCUAAGAACGCCGUGAUAGGAAUACCUGCAAGCAAUACUGAGACCUGAAGACAACUCUCCAGAGGCAUCCACAGAAGUUUCUGGCAUGCAUAGUGUUCAUGGUAUUUUAAGGCACAGCGAUUUAGAAUUGUCAGUGGUUUGGAUAUUUUCUCAUACAUCACACAAAUACAAAUCACCAGAGAUGAAGCUUGAAAAAGAACUGAAGCACAGAAAGUUAUGAAGAACUGAUGUGAUAUAGAAUGGCUUAAAAUAGCAAUAGAAGGUUACAAUACUGUGCAAACACACAUUUACUGCCAACAAGCCACGGAGGCUUUUACUACUAAUCACAGAACAGUUCAGAACAAUCUAGCAGAUACAUAAUUAACUCCUUGCCCCAGCACAAGGCCUGGUCCAAACAGCAUGCUUAUCCAUUUCUGUGCCAAAAGGCAUAGGAAGGAGAAUAAAAACACAUUUCUAAGCAUGAAGACAGCAUUACCAAAAGAAUCGAAAAAGAUACAGGAUAACUUGAUUAACAUCGAAUAUAUAAAACAAGCAGUUUUACAACACAAUCUUCAGACUCUGUGUUUGUUUUAAUGCAGGUCUUGAUCUGCAGAAUCCGGCCUUUGCAUGUGAACGUUACCACUUGGUCAAAGAAAAGAGAGCACCCGUCCACUUAGAGAACUGUACGCUGCUGCGAACAAAAGUGGAAAACAAACAGCAUUAGAAAAGACAAAUUCUCAGCACUACUGACAUGGUUUUGGCAUCCUGAACCUCAUCCCCUCCUAGCGAAGCAACAUAUUCCAGGUCUCAGAGCACUUCGGUGCUCUGCAGUAAGUAACCUGCACUACAGCUACAUCAGCUGAUUAAGAUGAUGGCAGCGGCGAUUUCUCAAUACAGUUUGGCCAGAGAUAUUUGUCACAAACGUCUAAUAAGAGCACAUACAUGAGCAUCUAUUUUUAGGUGCAUACUUCCUUAAGCACCCACACUCCCCUUCAUCUGCAAGCAUGCAAGAACUGUGCUGCAGCUCAGCUAAACAGUACUGCACAUGGAAAGCAACCUCUGCCAGCCUGUGAUGUGCAGCAUUACUUCUGAUGCUAAAAAUUGCAUUUAAGAUCACUUACAAUCUAAACAGGGCUAAAAUAAGCAGCCAGCUCGACAUUAUGCACAAACACGACAUUAUGCUCUUAUGACACUGCUUAGGUAAAAAAGGAAACCAAAUGGAUUUUUCCAAACAUUCAUAAAGCAGUAUUCAUAUGGCUGAAAGAAGGAACACUGACUUCACUUCAAAAAUGACUCCCAGUUUUGCAUUAGUUCAAUUGGCAAUUGCAUUUGCCAAUUGAAGAAAGCACAAUUCCAACUUUCCCUGAAAAUCAGGUCCUGCUUACAAAAGCUGUGAUAAAUUUGGAACUUGGGAGGCACCUCCAGCUCUCCAGUCUCCAAAGGUAUUCUUCCCCAAGUGGGAAAAGUAGCUCAGCCUAAGCACCCAGCUGGAUGGCAGAAAAGAAACAUGCAGUGACAGUACAACACCUAUGCAGACUGCAGCUGCAGAAUACAGCUGGGAUGAGGCUGACGGAAAGCUGACACAUGGGGUCCUUCGCUCUUCCUGUACCAAACAGAGCCCUCACGGUGGGAACAGCAGCUUCCCACACUGUCAGCAGGCCAGGGCCAUCACCUCACAUAACCCAGUCCAACAAGCCAGCAUUACGGUGUUAAAGCUGGAGACCACGCACUGCUAACCACCUUUAAUAUUCAAAGGCAAAAUUAACUUCUUGUGCUACACUGUUACUUCAAAUAUGGAAGAGAAACUAAUUUUCUGCCAUCGCCUGCAUAGCUCUGAUCUGUUACAAGGCAUAUCAAAAAGAGAUGGUAAGCAGUGUCUCGGUCACAGGCAGACCAAUGCUCCUAAUAAACACCAAGGCUCUGGUUGUAAGCACCAGCGUGCACUGAUGCUAGUAGCAUCAGCAACAUGAUAUCCAUUUGUUAUGUUCAUACAACAUAGCUGAGCACAGGACAUUUCAGGCAUUUCCAGUGUGGAUUUGUUUCACUGCCUGCUUCCUCAUCUCCUCAUGAGAAAGUCUUUUAUGAUACAUUAGGUUAAUAUUGCUCUCUAGAGGUUUUUAUAUCCAUUUUUGUACACUAAUGUGUGAGGCUCCCCCAUACUUUCCAAGUGUGUUUUCAUUAAAUGCUUCUACCUGCAGCAUGAAUUCUCACCAUUAUUUAAUAGACAGCACAGUUCUGCAGCAUGCUGCUGACGUGUUCAGUGAGUACCCCAACGAGCACCACGUGCACACACCCUCACACAAGGUCAGAUCACCAAGAAUCCUGCAUUAGAAAGGCUUAGGAAGGAAUGGGCUUGCCUCCCCUCAGCUGCUUCAAAGGACACACAUCACGGUGCUCUGCAUUGCAUUGAUCUGCCUCUACAGUUCUGAAUUCCCAAGAAGAGAAAUGCAUUUUGCAGCAGUUACAUUUUCUUACCGACCUAAAUUAUCUUUCUUCCAAUAACACCCGUUUUGUGUUUUAUGUAGCUAUAACCCUUCCACUUCACAAGUUAGCAAGAACUUGGAGAAGCUGAGUCUUCCCCCAAGGCUUUGCUUCAUGGCAAAUCCUGGAGCUUCUGUACCAGGGUGAACAUUUGCAAACUUUGUUACAACUCCUGGAAAAAAUCUCUAAGUACUGAAUAACAUCAAUAUUACGAUGUUAUCAUAAUGGGAGAGAUUAUUUUUAGAUGUUAUUUUUAGAUGAACAAGUUCAUAUGAAAGCUUUAUUGUUCUCUGUGUGGAGGAUUAAGUCAUACAGUGAUUGUCUGAAGUGUGCCUAUCUCUGCCCAUUACAGCUGAGGGCAGGUGGGCACCAGGAGGAUACCAGUCACCAGGCAGCUAAGGUCCUCCUAAGGACCCAAUCAACAUUUUUCUGUACAACUUCAAUUUCCUAUGGAGCCACACAGAAUCAGCACUUCAGCUGUACAGCAGCAAAGAAAAAGUAGUUAUAUCAAAGCCUACUCUCUAAGGGAAACCCAAAUUUGUGCUAGCCCAUCAAUGCAGGGUUUGUUGAGCAACUCCAACAUGAAGACAGCUGAAAAGAGCUGAAGAAUGACAGCACUUUUCUAAUCCAGUUUCUAGCUAGAGAAACAGCCACUGGCAGUGCCAGGCAGUUGUUCCAAAUACUACAAGUUUGCCAAAGCAUUGCAUUCUCAAGGCUUUCAAUUUCAGCUGCAAAAACUACAACAUCAUCUGUACUUCCUCAAAUGACAUUUCUCAUCAGAUCAAUUCAGCAUUCAGCAGCAUCAUUUUAGAAGGCUGGUUGCUAUGACAAUGCUUUGUAUUUUCCUGUUAAUGAUGUCAAUUCAGUGGUAGAAGAAAUAGCCUGUUUGGUGCCUUUAUCAAAAAUCAGAACAGCGUCAGUCAGCGCAGAAAGCUCUAACACUCAUGGAAAUCAUGAGCUUACUAAAAGAACUAACGUGCUAUAGAUACCUCAAAAUGCCUUUUUUCCCUACAUGCACUUCCCUAACCAAAACUACGUUUGCAGUUGGCUGUUUAUUUUCCACAGGCUGGCUGCUGUUACUGUGUCCCAGUUUGACCCUGAAGCUAUGUGUAAGAUAGACAAUUCAGAUUUGUAAGGACAAGAGGAAAACAGAUUGCAAAGAGCUAUACUUCCAGAAGCAGAAAAGGAAAGAAGAAAGCCCUACCAAUAAACAUUUCACUUGAAAAAAUUAUUGCUUCAAAGCCAGUAAACAUGCUGGCAGAGUAACCACAGACUUAUUCCAACAGGCUGUAAGUAUUUCAUAUUGCAAUCAACAGACAAUACUAGAUUAGUUUUAGUUUCUGGUAACUUGGCCCCACUCCUCCCCUGUUUUCUCUGAGCCUUCAUUUGAACUGUCAAUGAUAAGCAAUAAGCCCCUACCACUUUACAGCAAUCCUGCAUCCUGAGAAUUAAAAAGGAAAUAAUAAAUGAAACUUAAACUCAGUUUGAAGUCUUUAUUAAGCUUCACAUGGACUUGUAAGAUUGGUGUAACAAAAGUUAAGGAAAAAAUGGUUCCUGCUCAUUCUAACCUUACCCUGGUGCCUAGCUGUGCCCUCACUGCCUGCUGCAAACACCUCUAUGCACACAGUCUGCACGUGAUUUGUGAACUUCGGCACAUUGUUUUUGUAACAGUCUCUGCCUAUGUCACCCUCCCGUGCUUCUCAUUAGCCUCAAAAUCAACGGAAACUGCUUGCAGUAAACUCUCCCUUCACUCUUUCUGAAAGUCUUCAAAGAUGCCCCUAAUUCAGAGAGCACGAGAAAAAACAGAACUUCCAGCCAUCCCAUCUUUACAGCAUAAAAGACCAUACGGUCUUACUGCCUUUUGGGUCAGGACUUAAUUUCAGCACAUCUUAAUCAUUAUGCGAUGUCAGAUUCUUUCUAGAUAAUCCCAAAGCAUUCAGCAUCCACACCUUAUUUCCAAGUGCACCUGAAACCCAGAAGCGAGCAUUUCACGUGGUUAGACACCACCAUGUGUAACCAUCCUGCCCUAUACUCUCUGCCUCUCACCCAUGAAGGCAUUUACACCACACUGCUCUUUUCUCAAAUGUCUGAAAACACCUUUAUGUGUGCUUUAUGGAGGGAAAAUAUUUAAUGGGUUUUUUAAAGAAAAUAUAAGUAUGUACUUAUCCAAAGUAAGAGCAGUACAAACAGUAGCUUUACAUAUUGUCUAUGAGGUUACGUACAUUUCCCAGCAUAAAAGAAAGUAAAAGUGCCAAAGAGCAACAGGAGGAGAGACGACGCUUUUAGUGGCAGCAUUGUCAUAAGCAGAUCCAUAAACGUUCCUGUAAAACCAGACCCUAAGAGACGCUCAGGAUAAGCUGCACUAGAACAAGAAGAUUGAUACCAAUCUUCAGUGUGCUGGCAUUUUUGUUUUGUUAGCUACCGCGUUAAUUGUUGUUCAUUACAAGUUUCCUGCUUUCUCUGGAAAUGGUUCAAUAAAAUACUGCAAAUAAAUCUGAUUGCAAUGAUG